GUUUCUAAGUCUGGUGCGAUCGCAGUUUCAGUUUUGCGGACGCUCAGUGAGACCGCGCUCCGAGAGGGAGUGCGGGGUGGAUAAGGAUAGACGUGUCCAGGUGUCCACCGUCCGUUCACCCUGGGAGACGUCCCAGGAGGAACAGGGGAGGAUCAGGGACGCCUGGUGGACCCCUUUGAAGGCCAAGAGACCAUUUGGGGUUGCGAGAUCGUGGGUUCGAGUCCCACCUCGCGUUUUGUUGCGAGAUCGUGGGUUUGAGUCCCACCUCGCACCUUGUUGCGAGACCGUGGGUUCGAGUCCCACCUCGCGUCUGGUCACGGGAUCGUGGGUUCGAGUCCCACCUCGUGUUUGGUGUUGCGAGAUCGUGGGUUCGAGUCCCACCUCGUGCCCAGUUGCGAGAUCGUGGGUUCGAGUCCCACCUCGCGUUUUGUUGCGAGAUCGUGGGUUCGAGUCCCACCUCGCGCCUUGUUGCGAGACCGUGGGUUCGAGUCCCACCUCGCGUCUGGUCACGGGAUCGUGGGUUCGAGUCCCACCUCGUGCAGAGGGUCUCAAUCGGCCGGCCUUAGAGAGGCCAUCUGAUUCUUCUGGUUUCUUUUUUGUCUUAGUCUCAUGUCCGCUCUUGUUGUGACUACUGUUUUUCUAGAAAUGGGACAAUCUGUGUCCACUCCCCUUUCUCUGACUCUGGUCUGUUGCUAUCUUGUUUUUGCUUGUGGUUUACGGUUUCUGUGUGUGUCUUGUGUGUCUCUUUGUGUUCGGACUUGGACUGAUGACUGACGACUGUUUUUAAGUUAUGCCUUCUGAAAUAAGCCUAAGAAUCCUGUCAGAUCCCUAUGCUGACCACUUCCUUUCAGAUCCUCAGCUGCCCUGCCUCCCACUCCAACUCCAGAGAGCAGCCAGCCGGUCACAGUGGUCCCGCCCAUGGACCUGGAGCCUAGGGAAAAAUGAGCUCGGAAAUCCGGAGCAAAAGAGGAGUGGUCCCUGAAAAGUCAGUGGCCUGGAUGUUGUGGCUGCUGAAAUAAAAAGAAGAGGAGGCUGUUCGAGUAACCGGCCAAGAGCGCUGCAGGUUCCCAGGCAGCUUCUCAUUCCCCUGUCCCUCCCAUCCCGUCUCUUGUUAAGAGAAAAACUGCUUUCACUUUAAGAUAAGUGCAGGUUGCAGCCAGCUGUGAGAGCUGCACUCCCGUCUCUGCUCUAAAGUUCCCUCUUCUCAGAAGGUGGCACCACCCUGUGUUGCUGGCAGUGAGUCUGUUCCAGGUUCCAGUGAGGGAGGCAUCCGCCCACUUGGGGCUUCUGUCCAAGGUAAGGAGCACCUGUGAGUCUAACUGCCAGGCUCUGAUGGGGGUCUCGUCUCUGUGGGACUAGAAAGUCCCAACAAUCUGACCAAGGUAACAGAAAGUUAGACAAAGACAGAGACCAGAGUCAGAAUCAGAGCUGUGCUGUGAGACAAAAAGAUAAGAGAAAUAAAAUGCUGGCCACAAAAGUCAGGAAAAUUAGAAAACUUAGAUAGUACCUGGCAACAAAAGAAAGCUUUUGGCUGAAGAUCAAUGUGUUUAAGAGAUAACAAAAGGGGUGCUAACACAGAAGCUGAGUCCUUAAAAGAGUCCGGUGGCCUACCUGUUGAAGCAGCUAGAAAAAGAGACUGUGUUUCAUACUCCUCCACUGACCAGUGCAAAACAAGCUAAAAAGUUCCUGGGCACUGCGGGCUUUUACAGAUUGUAGAUUCCAGGUUUUGCUUAAUUAAAGAGAUAAACAGCCCUUCGUAUAGAAAAAAAAAGGAACAAUCUUAGAUGGCCUUAAAUGCUCUUGAGACUGCCCUAAUGUUAUCCCCAGCUAUGGGACUCCUAGAUGUGACUGAGAACAAAGGUAUUGCCAAAAGAAGUUCUUACUCAGAGAUUGGGACCCUGAAAAAGACCUGUGGCAUACUUGUAUAAAAAAUUAGACCUGGUGGCUGUAGGAUGGCCUGCUUGUCUGCACAUAGUGGCUUCUGGUCAAGGACGCAGAUAAAUUGACUCUGAGACAAAACUUGGCACAUGUCCUAGAAAGUGUGGUUCAGCCCCCAUGACCGAUGGCUGACUAACGCUCUUAAAAUCAUUAUCCAACUGUUCCCCUGACCGAUGGACACAUUGUCAGAGCUUUUUUUGACUGAACGAGUGACCUUCGCUCCCCCUGCUAUCCUCGAUCUCACUACUGCCUGAGACUUCACCUACUCAUCAUUGUGCUGACAUUCUGGCAGAAGGAACUCAUACUCGAAAUGAUCUGAAGGAUCAGAUCAGCCUUGGCCUGAGAGUUCGAGCUGGUACACGGAUGGCAGUAGCCUCGAGGUUAAGGGUAAGCGGAAGGCGGGGACAGCAGUGCAGUGGUGGACAGAAAGCAAGUGAUCUAGGCCAGCAGCCUCCCUAAAGGGACUUCAGCCCAGAAAGCUAAACUUGUGGCUUUAAUACAAGCUCUAUAUAUACAGACAUCUGCAGAGAAAGACCUAAGAUGCUGUGGCUAAAAAAAAAAAUCAGGUGGCAAAUCUAACCGCCCAGGCAUCCUAAAGAGCAAUGAUCCUGACAGUCUAAAGACUAUCAAGUUAUAGACAAAUUAAGACUGGUAAAAGAAACCCUGUAUGACAUAGUAGAAACUGAAGAAAGAAAACUAGUCCUCUCAUGAGAAGACAGACCUGACAUCUACUGAAAAAUAGACUUUACUGAAAAAAUAUGUGUAUAAAUACCUUCUGGUUUUUGUGAACGUUCUCAAGAUAGAUAAAAGCUUUUCCUUGUAAAAAAAACGAGACUGAUCAGAUAGUCAUCAAGAAGAUUGUUAAAGAAAAUUUUCCAAGGUUCGGAGUGCCAAAAGCAAUAGUGUCAGAUAAUGGUCCUGCCUUUGUUGCCCAGGUAAGUCAGGGUGUGGCCAAGUAUUUAGAGGUCAAAUAAAAAUUCCAUUGUGUGUACAGACCUCAGAGCUCAGGAAAG
rnacentral:lncRNA from 1 species